GCCCGUAUAGCUCAGUGGUAGAGCGCAUCACUCGUAUCUGUGAUUGCGAUAUGAUGAGGUCCGCGGUUCAAUCCCGCGUGGGGGCA
rfam:Podospora anserina genomic DNA, chromosome 5.